rnacentral:lncRNA from 1 species
CAAGACCGUGUUUAAUCCUAUCAUAUUCUAAAAAAAAUUGUAUUUAAAGUGAUUUUUGAAUAUAUUUUUUUUCCUAGUGUACUUGGCUUGACUUGUUGUGAUCAUUUGGUUGCUACACAGAUUGCUCGAGGAAAACGUCCUAGUAUCAGACAAAAUGUUGUAUCAACUCGGUUGAUUGUUUCUCGAGCUGCUCCUCUUUGACUCCUCUAGGGACAAUCAACCUAGUUGAUACAACGUUGUUGAUAAUGUUUGCAACAUUUCUGAUACUAGGAUUGUUUCGUCAAACAACUUCUGGAGCAACCAAAUGAUCACUACAUGUCAAGCCACACUAGGUAACAUAAUUUCAAAAAUUAUUAUAGAUACAAUUUCUUUUUUAGAAUUUGAAAUGCUAAAUCUCACACCAAUUUUACCAAAUCAUGCAUAUAACUAAAAAUAUUUCUCUCUCUAAAAUCUUCUCCUUCCCCACUCUUCUUCUUUUUUCCUAUUUUUUUCAGAAAAUCACACACUAAAAACGUCCCAGCAUUCCAAGUACGAAUUUGACAAAAAUCUUCACAUGUUCAAACUAAAAUAAUGUUGGAAUUUUUUGAGGAAAAAAUUCAAAUUGAUAUGAAUUUGAAUAAUUAAAAAGGUUUAAUGAAAUUGAAUAAAUAUUAAAUAAAACUGAACUCAUUUUCUAUGAUUAUUCGUGUAAAAAAUUAAUAAAUUUUUAGUGACUUGGAUAAAAUUAUUUUAGAGAACAAAGUAAUAUUAAAGCACUUAGUGCACCUUUAGCUUUAUACUCAUAGCUAACAUUUGUGUCUAGCUAUUAUCAUUUCUCAAUAUCAAAGCAAUAUGAAAGCAAGCAUUAAACAACUAAGUCACCGUUAGCUUUGUACUCAGGGGCGUACCCAUGCCUGUGGCUGGGGUGGCCCCCGUCC